UAUGAACCAUCCAUUUUCUGUUGCUCUCUUAAACUCUCCUGUCCUUUUCCCUUGUGAAGGUCACAUCGAGCGCACAGUGGGCAUCCAGUUUCAGGGAUGGGAGCUCGCGGCUCUGAACUCAGUGGAAGUCAUCUUAGAAUUCCCACUCUCCCUGCCAGUCCACAUGUCUCAUUUGCUCUAACGGCCUUGUUUCAGUACUGCAAUUGAGUCUUGACAGAGGGAAUCUUCAGGAAAUUAUUCAGCAAUGGCAGGUCUCCAGAAAAUGCAAGCGUGCUCUGCAUCAUUGGGCGGCCAGGAAAUCGGUCUAUUAACCUGUCAAACUCAGUGGAGGUCACAAGGGACACCGAGCAGAGGGACUGGAUUGAGGUGGUUUACUGCAGAGACAGGGACAUAACUAAUGAUCCAAGAAGAGGUUCAAACAAAGCUGGUAUUGGCGAAAGUUGAGAAAGCUACUGGGAAACGUCUGACUUCCAGAAGAAAAAAAGGGUACUGUUGAUGAUACUCUGUAAGGAGCUAACCGUCUCAGAACAGCACAUCUUAACUGUGUUACUGCAAUUACAGAUAAACCUGCUGUA
rnacentral:lncRNA from 1 species